GACGAACGCUGGCGGCGUGCUUAACACGUGCAAGUCGAACGGAAAGGCCCUGCUUUUGUGGGGUGCUCGAGUGGCGAACGGGUGAGUAACACGUGAGUAACCUGCCCUUGACUUUGGGAUAACUUCAGGAAACUGGGGCUAAUACCGGAUAGGAGCUCCUGCUGCAUGGUGGGGGUUGGAAAGUUUCGGCGGUUGGGGAUGGACUCGCGGCUUAUCAGCUUGUUGGUUGGGUAGUGGCUUACCAAGGCUUUGACGGGUAGCCGGCCUGAGAGGGUGACCGGCCACAUUGGGACUGAGAUACGGCCCAGACUCCUACGGGAGGCAGCAGUGGGGAAUAUUGCACAAUGGGCGGAAGCCUGAUGCAGCAACGCCGCGUGCGGGAUGACGGCCUUCGGGUUGUAAACCGCUUUCGCCUGUGACGAAGCGUGAGUGACGGUAAUGGGUAAAGAAGCACCGGCUAACUACGUG
rnacentral:rRNA from 1 species